rnacentral:rRNA from 1 species
AGCGAACGCUGGCGGCAGGCCUAACACAUGCAAGUCGAACGAACCUUUCGGGGUUAGUGGCGGACGGGUGAGUAACACGUGGGAACGUGCCUUUAGGUUCGGAAUAACUCAGGGAAACUUGUGCUAAUACCGAAUGUGCCCUUCGGGGGAAAGAUUUAUCGCCUUUAGAGCGGCCCGCGUCUGAUUAGCUAGUUGGUUGAGGUAAUGGCUCACCAAGGCGACGAUCAGUAGCUGGUCUGAGAGGAUGAUCAGCCACAUUGGGACUGAGACACGGCCCAAACUCCUACGGGAGGCAGCAGUGGGGAAUCUUACGCAAUGGGCGAAAGCCUGACGCAGCCAUGCCGCGUGAAUGAUGAAGGUCUUAGGAUUGUAAAAUUCUUUCACCGGGGACGAUAAUGACGGUACCCGGAGAAGAAGCCCCGGCUAACUUCGUG